CGUAGAUCCCUUAGAAGAUGGAUCACCACUUGGAAAGAGCCACAGUAUUGAGUCUUUGUCCUUGAUCUGCGUGCUGGAAUGGGGCCUCACUCUUCUGUUCUGCCUAUCUGAGCUGCCAGAACAAGCCUUUUGAAUCUGAGAAGCUUUUUCAUAAGUAUAGCAAGCAGCUUUUUCAGUGUAGUACAAGAAGGAUCUACAUCACAUAAUGGGAUACAGUACUGCAUCAGAAGUCCAUUGAGCUGGGUUCAGUUCCUGCAUUGACUUCCUGAGGUGAAAUCACUUCAUCUUUUUGUGCCUCAGUAACCCUAUCACCUGUACGAUAGGGGUAAUAUCUUUCAUUAUUAAAUGCUUUGCUAUGACAAGUCUUUCUAAGAUGAGCUAAGUUUGUGUCUUCAGAAAUUACAAAAAUCAGAAUGCACUUUGGUCAUGAUAAUGAAUAAAUGUAGGCUAAGAAAGAACAGAUUUGCUUAAUAGGAAACCACUGGUACUCAACAGAACUAAAUGAAAUAAGUUGACCCUGGGAUUAAUUAAAUAGAACUGCUAUUGCUAGUGGCUUGUUGUGAAUUGGAGAAAUAAUUUUGUCUCGUAAUAUGUUAACUGAAGUGUAAUAGAAAAGCUAAAGACAGAUAGGAGCUCUGAUAUUGAAAAGGCCAUGGAAAUACAAUCAGGAUUAUUUAUUUUGGAAUCACAAAUGGAGAGUGCUGAACUGUUUGUUACUCUAACUUCAUUAAAAAAUAGUCACAAUAGAGACCUUGAUAAACUGGGACACAUUUCAGUGACUAGAAACCUAUUGUAAUCACAAUGACAGUAAUAUAAUCUUGGGCUUUAGUCCAUAUGUCUGUCCUAAUGAGAGCUAUUAAUGUCAUUGGUUUGCAUCCAGCUUGCAGGCCAAGACACUUAACUAAACAUUUUUUUGUUUGUUUCUGUCAUUAGCUGGGAUGCAGAGACCAAAUGGCUGGGACUAUCUUGUUCUUUAGUUCAAUUAAUAGACCUCUGUUGUUUCCCUGGAAUAAAAAUCUGACAGCACAGGAUAAAAAAUUACUCCAAAGCUUGCAGUGGGACCAACAAAUGAAAUCCAUCAUGGAUUUAAAUGGAAUCAUAUUACAGUCUUCUCCCUUCAUUGGACCAGGGAUCUUUUCCUGUGUAAUGUUUAUGUUACUUUGAAUCAUGAAGACAAGGACAAAUUCAGGGAGUUGCUGAAUCCUUUGUCAUGAGCCUUGACUCAUCUAUUUUCCUGUGGAAGAACCAGCUAAGGUCUCUGUUGAGGAAAAGUAAACAGUGGGCAUGCAAUUUAUAGCUCCUUCUAUUCUUCCAGGCAGAAUGAAAUCUCUGGGCAAUGGCUGAAGCAAUUCUGCCUGUGACACCACUGCAGUAAUGCACAGUAGUAGCAGCAGACAGUUGACUUGUAGGAAUGGUACAUGUGCUCCAUCUUUGCCUGGAAGUUGUUCAUGAAUUCCUUGAUGAUUGCUAUCACCACUGUAUUUUGAGUCCAAGGAGUGCUGAUUAUAAAAACAUAUGUUUUUCAGGACUGUAGUCAAUUGUUUGGGACCUCUGAAGUUAAGCAGUGCUCUGUAAAUGAAAUAUGUGGAAAUAGAGAUGUGCAGGAAAUAAUCUCAAACAGCAGUGAUAUAUUUUGCUUUUUAUAAGUUGAGUUCUCAUAGGAGAAGUAAAAAUUGCUGCG
rnacentral:lncRNA from 7 species